CCUACGGUGCGCAGCAGUGGGGAAUAUUGGACAAUGGGCGAAAGCCUGAUCCAGCCAUGCCGCGUGUGUGAAGAAGGCCUUCGGGUUGUAAAGCACUUUCAGUGGGGAAGAAAGCCUUGGGGCUAAUACCCUCGAGGAAGGACAUCACCCACAGAAGAAGCACCGGCUAACUCCGUGCCAGCAGCCGCGGUAAUACGGAGGGUGCGAGCGUUAAUCGGAAUUACUGGGCGUAAAGCGCGCGUAGGCGGUCUGAUAAGCCGGUUGUGAAAGCCCCGGGCUCAACCUGGGAACGGCAUCCGGAACUGUCCGGCUAGAGUGCAGGAGAGGAAGGUAGAAUUCCCGGUGUAGCGGUGAAAUGCGUAGAGAUCGGGAGGAAUACCAGUGGCGAAGGCGGCCUUCUGGACUGACACUGACGCUGAGGUGCGAAAGCGUGGGUAGCAAACAGGAUUAGAUACCCCAGUAGUC
rnacentral:rRNA from 1 species